rnacentral:lncRNA from 14 species
CUGUGGGCUGGGCUCCUAGCCAAACACCGGGUUACCAUCCGGGCUCUCGGGCGCCCCCUACUGAACGUUUUUGCCUCUGUAUCUAGCACCUGCCUGGCUUCAGAGAACCCAGUCCCAUAACGGUGUUUUGCUCCCUUCACCUCAGGAACACCUUUGUAUAGAGAGAGCACAGAUCCAGCCUUCAGAUCGGCUUUAAUUUCCGUCUCUCCUUGUGAAUUUGGGCAAGCUGCCAAUCUCAUUGAGCCUGAUGGCCUCUACCCGAAGAAUACCUGAACUCAACUAUCUGAGAGAGGAAGGCUGGCCCUUGGUCAAGGCAAGAAAAGUGUAAAAAUGUCUUAAAUGGACUGCCCUACCGUACUCCUCGCCCAUGAUGUAGAUUUAUAGUAAGUGCCACACAGGUCUGCGGCGUUGAAUAGGUGAAUGAAGAUGCACAAGACUUCAGUGGUUUCUAAUGCGCAGAAGUCACCUAUUGUACUUACGAUCUUGCAGAGAGCAACCACUGACCCUAUUUCAGCAUACCAAAGCCUCCGGUGGAUAUACAAGACAGGUAAUAAUAUGUCUCACUUCUUUCAUGACAUCAGUCACCUGGAGGACAGCACUGUGGUCAUUGUUACAGGCCUUUUCUGGAUCCUUCCAAAAGAUGAACCCAAGAAGUCGUCUCCGCUUUACUCAUCCAAAGGAAAACCUCAUAAAACCACAGCUUUGGCCUUUCUCCAGUUUAUCUUUGAAUUUGUCAGUUCUGGUAUCUCACCAAGAUCUCAGCCUCUCACCCUUUCUGCUGCCCUCCCCGGAUCCUCUUAUGCUCAUUUUCUAAACUCAUUGAUGGCAGAGUGUGUGGUCAGCUCAUCGGGCCCAGCGUGCUUUCUACAGCAUUCAGGCAGCAGAUAAGUAUUUCUUUGUUGAAUAAUCACUUUCCCUGCCCUAGGCUGUCCAAUUUUCAUUGUUUUGUUUUAUAGCAGGUUUCAUAUUCUUGCCAGUUUUCAGGGGCUAUAUAGUUCUACCAAUGAGAUCACUGUGGC